rnacentral:tRNA from 1 species
GCCUCUGAAUUUCAUGUGGUCAGAAUACUCUUUUCAUACAGGAGUGGUGUGGGUUCGACUCCCUCCAGAGGUU